rnacentral:rRNA from 1 species
UACGGGAGGCAGCAGUGGGGAAUAUUGCACAAUGGGCGCAAGCCUGAUGCAGCCAUGCCGCGUGUAUGAAGAAGGCCUUCGGGUUGUAAAGUACUUUCAGUCGUGAGGAAGGUGUUAAGGUUAAUAACCUUAGCAAUUGACGUUAGCGACAGAAGAAGCACCGGCUAACUCCGUGCCAGCAGCCGCGGUAAUACGGAGGGUGCGAGUGUUAAUCGGAAUUACUGGGCGUAAAGGGCACGCAGGCGGUUAAUUAAGUUGGAUGUGAAAUCCCCGGGCUUAACCUGGGAAUGGCAUUCAAGACUGGUUAGCUAGAGUCUUGUAGAGGGGGUAGAAUUCCAUGUGUAGCGGUGAAAUGCGUAGAGAUGUGGAGGAAUACCGGUGGCGAAGGCGGCCCCUGGACAAAGACUGACGCUCAUGUGCGAAAGCGUGGGGAGCAAACAGGGAUUAGAUACC